CCCAAUGAAAAUGAUGUUGCUCAAAUUUUGGACCUUGAGUAUGAGGCCAGACGGGCUUUCAUUGAUGCAGAUGUUAGGAAGGAAGAAGACCGACCUGCAAAAAUCUUUGAGGCAUAUCCAUGCUUCAAAGAUGUUCGAAAUUUAAGUUGGUUUGUUUUUACUACCUGAACUUGAAUUACUGUGUAUCUGUGUUCUGAAUUUCAAUGCAUUGUUAACUGUUGAAUAACUGUGCACAAUGCUGUUUUAGGCAAUGAAUGAGCUGCGGCGCAUAGUAGGUGGCACCAACAGUAGAUACAUUGAGUAAGUAAAAGGAAGAUGGGCAGAAUUCUGUGCCAAGGUGCAGUUCUACAGCGUGUGGAAGAAAGUCCUGAAACCCCCUUUCCCUUUGGAUGUCUGCAGUGUGGAUUUCACACUCGCCCUCUUCAAUGCGCUGCCAUCCCUCUUCCCCUCACCAACUUCGCCACCAAAGAAGCUUGGGAAUAGCUGUGAGGCACUUCUUCAUAUCCUGAAGUCAGGCGAAGACCCCACCCUGUACCUGGAGAAGCGUCCUCUCUGCUCCCCUGUUCUGCUUUUUGAUGGAUCAACCACCAUCGUGGCUGUUGGUAAUGUACCUGUGACCACCCUCCCACAGGACGAUUUCUCAGAAGGGAUGUUGGUGCUAAUGGCUUACUACUACACUUUGCAUUUAACAUACCCUAAAUGUGUUGCAACCAUCCUCUCUGUUAUUCAAACAGAGGUAAUUGGCGACACAAUC